UACUGGCCUGCAGAAUCUCUGGUAGGAUCCAGUACCGUUUCUCCCUGGGCAGUGCCUAAUCUCAGGAGCUUUCCUACUCUCUCUGGAUGACACUGCUGCACUCAGUACAGAACACAGAAUGUGCAGGAAACUUGACUGAAGGUAUAACACCAAGGUUAAAAAAGAAAAGAGCAAUGAAGAGUUAAGGUUUUAAGGGUAAAAAAAUUGAGAAUGGAUCUCCUUGGAGAGGAAGGAGAGAGAAUGGUAUAUCUAAAGGACGCAAUCUAUCAUCCUAAAUAUUGGUCCCUUUAAUCUUAUGAAAAUGGAACUGUGUAACCUAACAAAAACAGCAGUUCAGAAGUACUAUUUGGGCCAAGUCAAAACCAGCCUGGAUUCUGUCAUCCUUACUCACGGUGAAUGGUACCUAGAGGAGCGCGCAGAAGCCGCAGUUUGAACGAAAAGCACGAACGAAGGCAGGAGAAGAAGAUACCAGACUGGCUGCGAUCCCAAGCGGCUCACACACUGAUGUUCAGGACAGCACAUGUGGGUGCCACAUGAGCAGUCUUUCCACGCGUGGAAGUUUGAAGGGAAAACAAACAAACCCACCCUCCUGUGGACUGGAAGUCACAGCUCGCACUGUGCAGCCUCUGGGACCGCUCCUCCUUCCACUGCUGCCACUGGCAGUUUUGUGGCUUCCAUAAGUUGCUUCUCUUAAGCAUCUGCUUCCCUUUUGCCAGCAGGCCUGAGGCAUCUGUAUUUUAAAUUAUGAGCUCUUUUGGGUGAGGAUGAUGCCUAUCUACACACUUGCACAGUGUUUAGCACAACAGCCCUGAUCUGUUGCGUCACUUCCAAGACCUGCAGUCGUACACUACUAGCAGUAAAUGCACUUCGGUGAAUAUUUUACUCCACUGUCUCCAGCUGAAUAUGAAGCAACUCAGAACUUUGCCUCUCAUGAUAGAAAUCUUACAUAGCACAAGCCCAAGCUGUUUCACAGACCACCUGCCUUUUCUUAACCAUGUGUAGAACUGACUAUUAGGAAUC